GAUCCUGGCUCAGGAUGAACGCUAGCUACAGGCUUAACACAUGCAAGUCGAGGGGCAGCAUGGUCUUAGCUUGCUAAGGCCGAUGGCGACUGGCGCACGGGUGAGUAACACGUAUCCAACCUGCCGUCUACUCUUGGGCAGCCUUCUGAAAGGAAGAUUAAAUACAAGAUGGCAUCAUGAGUCCGCAUGUUCACAUGAUUAAAGGGUAUUCCGGUAGACGAUGGGG
rnacentral:rRNA from 1 species